rnacentral:tRNA from 1 species
GCCUUUGUAGCUUAACGGAUAGAGUGCUGGCCUCCGAAGCCAGUAAUGCCAGUUCGAUUCUGGCCAGAGGCACAA